GAAGCCCCGACAGAUAAAGCAUUGCUGAGACCUUAGGGAUUGAAAGAGUCAGGAGGCCCCGCCCACCUGUCAUUUACCUGAAUACCUGCAAGCAGGAAAGGAGGCGUAAACUCAUCCAGCACCAGAGCAGGCAGCUGGGAGGUAUCCCAGGACUGUUAAACUCUCUGGCAUCUUCCCAGGAGGGCUGUAAACAUCUCCCAUCAUCCCAUUGAAACGCUGCGUAUUUUUACCACCUGCAUCCAGCAUCCCUGGAACUCAUUACCUGAGGAAACUGUGGAUUCCCCGUCCCGGAAGAUGGCCUGCCUGCCCAGAGAGAAUUUUUUUUCCCCUUCAGGAAAAUAAAUGUUGACAUUCCUAUUUUCCUCCUACUUUUGCCUCCCUCGUCUUCUUCUUUCCCUCCUCCUGAUUUUGGGAAUGCUUUUGUUCCACCGGUUUUAAUAUUGGACUACCUAGAGGUUUUGGGGUUUGGUUUGGGGGAGGGUGGAGGAAGAAGGAAAAAUGGGAGAGGGAAGAAAAGGAAGUCCGGAUUCCCACAGCCUGGGCCUCAGCUGGCUGCAGUCAGUCAAUAGCUCGCAAAGCAAGGGGGAGGAGAAGGAAGAGAAAUUGUAGUCGAGGGCGGGGUCUGGGGGCCGGCUCUGGUGCUCGACCUCAGGGGAGCUGGCUCCUGUCCCCGAUCCGCCCCAGACAGGUCUAAGCUACCUCUUUGCACCUGGGAACUCUGUGCCUUUUGAGAGUUGAAGGCUUAAAACAACAACAACCACCACAACAAAACUAUUCACCUUUUUAUCCAAUAGAAACUAAGAUCCCCCCAUGAAGCUUGGCGUUCUCAAGGACUCCUCCUGGCAAUGAACCUACAGCGAAGACCAUGCCUUGUGAUUCAGCAGAAUUACUUUGCCCAUUUUGCUUCCUAUUUUUUUUUCCCAUGACAUAUUUCUAGAGUUGUCUAUGAUGAUUGAAUG
rnacentral:lncRNA from 1 species